rnacentral:rRNA from 1 species
CGGGUGAGUAAUGCGUGACCAACCUGCCCCAUGCUCCAGAAUAGCUCUUGGAAACGGGUGGUAAUGCUGGAUGCUCCAACUUGACGCAUGUCUUGUUGGGAAAGUGUUUAGUGGCAUGGGAUGGGGUCGCGUCCUAUCAGCUUGUAGGCGGGGUAAUGGCCCACCUAGGCUUCGACGGGUAGCCGGCCUGAGAGGGCGGACGGCCACAUUGGGACUGAGAUACGGCCCAGACUCCUACGGGAGGCAGCAGCCG